rnacentral:rRNA from 1 species
UGCAGGCUGCAACUCGCCUGCAUGAAGUUGGAAUUGCUAGUAAUCGCGAAUCAGAAUGUCGCGGUGAAUACGUUCCCGGGCCUUGUACACACCGCCCGUCACACCAUGAGAGUCGAUAACACCCGAAGCCUGUGAGCUAACCUUUUAGGAGGCAGCAGUCGAAGGUGGGGUUGAUGAUUGGGGUGAAGUCGUAACAAGGUACC